rnacentral:rRNA from 1 species
AUUGAACGCUGGCGGCAUGCCUAACACAUGCAAGUCGAACGGCAGCACGGCAGUAGCAAUACUGUGGGUGGCGAGUGGCGGACGGGUGAGGAAUACGUCGGAAUCUGCCCAGUCGUGGGGGAUAACUAGCCGAAAGGUUAGCUAAUACCGCAUACGACCGAGAGGUGAAAGCGGGGGACCGCAAGGCCUCGCGCGAUUGGAUGAGCCGACGUCGGAUUAGCUAGUUGGUGGGGUAAAGGCCCACCAAGGCGACGAUCCGUAGCUGGUCUGAGAGGAUGAUCAGCCACACUGGAACUGAGACACGGUCCAGACUCCUACGGGAGGCAGCAGUGGGGAAUAUUGGACAAUGGGCGCAAGCCUGAUCCAGCAAUGCCGCGUGUGUGAAGAAGGGCCUUCGGGUUGUAAGUCGACUUUAUCUAGGAACGAAAGACGUUAGGAUUAA